GACGAGCUCUCCAAACGUUAUUCGGUAUCACUGGGCUUAAAGAGUUCGUAGGCGGCUUAUUAGGUGGGGUGUGAAAGCCCUCGGCUCAACCGAGGAACUGCGCCCCAAACCAAUGGGCUCGAGGGGUAUAGGGGUAAGCGGAACAGAUGGUGGAGCGGUGAAAUGCAUUGAUAUCAUCUGGAACACCGGUGGCGAAAGCGGCUUACUGGAUACUUUCUGACGCUGAGGAACGAAAGCUAGGGUAGCGAACGGG
rnacentral:rRNA from 1 species